UACGUAGGGGGCGAGCGUUGUCCGGAUUUAUUGGGCGUAAAGAGCUCGUAGGCGGUUCGAUAAGUCGGACGUGAAAUCUCCGCGCUCAACGUGGAGGGGCCGUUCGAUACUGUCGUGACUCGAGUCCGGUAGGGGAGUGUGGAAUUCCCGGUGUAGCGGUGAAAUGCGCAGAGAUCGGGAGGAACACCCGUAGCGAAGGCGGCACUCUGGGCCGGUACUGACGCUGAGGAGCGAAAGCGUGGGGAGCAAACAGG
rnacentral:rRNA from 1 species